UUGCAGUGGUAGAGAUCCCAGGUACAGCCAGGUAGUUUGAGUUCAUAAACCACUUCUUGUACAGAGCAGAGAGCUGCCCUGCAGAACUGUGGGGUCUUUCUGUAGGAGUCCUAGAGUGAGAUGACUCUGAAGAACAGGCUGGACCUAACUGGAAAUCCUGUUUCCUCUUGUCUUCAGGAAGGAAGCUUAAUCCAUAAUUCAGUGCUGUUCCUCUUUACUGAUGUUGAUGUAAAGAUCUGAAGCUACAAUGGAGUCCAAAUUCUCAAAUGCUGGAGAGCUAUCAAGAUCUGCAGUUACAGUCUGUGAAGAAUCUGAAAAUAGCAGACAAGUUUUUUCUCACUUCUAAAACUUCAACAUUAAGCAGAGCCCCAGCACACUGUAAACACUGUCAUUGCCAGAAGGAGAAUUAUUAAUAGAUCUCAUAAGUGAUCUGCAUCAUGUCUCAUUCUCCAGUGAGAGGUAUCUGUUGCUGCACCUGUACAUACAUACCACACAUCAGACACAGCCACAUAGUUACAGACAGUAGUUGUGUGCAACAAUAUUAAAUUAUUAAAUUCUUUUGUUCUGCAAACAAUGGAUUUUAUCAACUGAAUUAACUGUUUUCUUCCAUCUGACAUCUUUCUUGAAGAACUUAGUGCACCUG